GAUGAACGCUGGCGGCGUGCCUAAUACAUGCAAGUCGAGCGAACAGAUAAGGAGCUUGCUCCUCUGAAGUUAGCGGCGGACGGGUGAGUAACACGUGGGUAACCUACCUAUAAGACUGGGAUAACUUCGGGAAACCGGAGCUAAUACCGGAUAACAUUUAGAACCGCAUGGUUCUAAAGUGAAAGAUGGUUUUGCUAUCACUUAUAGAUGGACCCGCGCCGUAUUAGCUAGUUGGUAAGGUAACGGCUUACCAAGGCGACGAUACGUAGCCGACCUGAGAGGGUGAUCGGCCACACUGGAACUGAGACACGGUCCAGACUCCUACGGGAGGCAGCAGUAGGGAAUCUUCCGCAAUGGGCGAAAGCCUGACGGAGCAACGCCGCGUGAGUGAUGAAGGGUUUCGGCUCGUAAAACUCUGUUAUUAGGGAAGAACAAAUGUGUAAGUAACUGUGCACAUCUUGACGGUACCUAAUCAGAAAGCCACGGCUAACUACGU
rnacentral:rRNA from 1 species